rnacentral:lncRNA from 10 species
CUUUGUUUACCCAAGCAAGCCUGGGCAAUGGCGGGCGCCCCUCCCCCAGCCUUGCUGCGGCCUUGCAGUUUGAUCUCAGACUGCUGUGCUAGCAAUCAGCGAGACUCCGUGGGCGUAGGACCCUCCUAGCCAGGUGCAAGAUAUAAUCUCGCGGUGCGCCGUUUUUUAAGCCGGUCCGAAAGCGCAAUAUUCGGGUGGGAGAGACCCGAUUUUCCAGUGAGAUGAACCCAGUACCUCAGAUGGAAAUGCAGAAAUCACCCGUCUUCUGCGUCGCUCACGCUGGGAGCUGUAGACCGGAGCUGUUGCUAUUCGGCCAUCUUGGCUCCUCUCCUGCACUGCAAGAAUGGACUAAUACGCUAUGUGAAGACAAAGGGGAUGUCUGCAAGCCAGGACGAGUGCGUCUACCAGAAACUGAGUUCUGCUGGACUUUGAUCUAGGACAUCCAGCCUCCAGAAUGGAAUGUGCCAUAUGUGGAGACCUGCAUGGAAAGGAACUGAGGAUGCUCUCUCACUAAAAGCUAGAAGGAACUGAGGCCCUCAGUCAACAGUCUACAAGACACUGAAUCUUGCCAGCAGCCAAGCAGUGAGCUUGAAAGCAGAUCUAUCAUCAGCUGAACCUUCAGAUGAGACCGCAGCCUAAGCAGAUACCUUGGUUGCAGCCAUGUGAGACAACCUGAAACAGAGGGCACAGCUAAGCCUCAGCCAGGUUCAUGACCCUCUGAGGAAACUGUGAGAAAGCAAAUGUCAUUUUAAGCUAUUUAAUUUUGGAGGUAGUUUAUUACACAACAAUAAAUAACUAUUAUAAUUAUCUUGAGGAUUUAUUUCCUGGGGAGAAUACAUGGAAUUGCAUAUAUAGGUCCUCAUAUGCAGAAUACUGGUACCCUAGAGAUGUUCACCCCAGAGAUGUUUUAGGAACCUGUGAAUAUGUUACAUUAAAUGGCAAAGUUUUCCUGGAUGGUUUAAGUUUAAGAUGGAAAAGUUUUACUGGAUUAUCCAGUGGGUCCAAUCUAGUAACAUGAGUCCUUAAAAAUGGAGAAUAUUUUUUGGCCAUGAUCAGAGAGACAUGUGAUGAUGGAAAAAGUGUCAGAGAUGCAAUGUGAGGGGACUAAAACUGCUGUUGCUGACUUUAAAGAUGGAGAGAGGGGAACCCGAGUCAAGGAAUGCAAAUGGCCUCUGGAAGCUGGAAAAAGCAAGAAAUGGAUUCUCCUUUAGAGCCUGUGGAAUAAAAUGCAGUCAUGCUGACACCUUGAUUUUACCUCAGUGAGACCAAUACUGGAGUAUGACCUUCGGAGCUGAAUAAAAUUAUACGUACACAUCUUAAUUUCUUGGGAUUUGAUUACUUCUUCUGCUUUGAAAUUAGACCAAGUUUAGCCUGCCUUUGCUAUUUUGGCGUAUCUCCAAUUCUUCAUGAUUUUCUCAUCGCAAAGGCCACAUAAGGACAGUGAGAAGGCAGCCACCUGCAAGCCAGGAAGAAAGGUCUCACCAGAUACCAACCCUGCCAGCAUGUUGAUCUUGGACUUCCAGCCUCCAAAACUGGCCUUCUGCUCACAUGGGCUUCCGUGCACCUGCUUCAGGAGACAGCAACACUUGCGCCCGCACCGCGGCAGGCUCCCAUCACCUGGUGGAUAUGCCGCGCCGAGUCUCAUCACACCUUAGUGAAGGAACACAUGGACCCAUAUGUUAGCGGAUGUAUUUACAUCGUUUUAUACAGAAAGGGGAAAUGGAGUCUUGCUCUGUCACACAUGCUAGAGUCCAGUGGUAUGACCUCAGCUCACUGCAAUCUCUGCCUCCCGGGUUCAAAUGAUUCUUCUGCCUUGACCUCCCUGGCAGCUGGGACUACAGGCCUGCACCACCACGCCUGGCAAAUUUUUUAAUUUUUUUUAGUAGAGAUGGGGUUUCACCAUGUUGGCCAGGCUAGUCUCGAACUCCUGACCUCAAAUGAUCUGCCCGCUUUGGCCUUCCAAAGUUCUGGGAUUAUAGGAGUGAGCCACCAUGCCCAGCCUGUUCUUAAGUCUCCUAGAACAGGGAUUCUGAAACACAAAACUCAUCUGGCAAAGAGUUCUAAGAUGCAUUUCACAGCACUCCACAGAAGGAAGGUUCAGAGCCAAUCAUCUGCACCAGUGCCCAACUUAAAAACAUCCUUGUAUCAGUUUUCCCUUAUUUCCUGUUCUCCUCCCUAAACCUUCAGUCCUGUUCCUGGCAAUCACUUCCAGAAUAAACCAUAUACAUGCCUCAGAUUCUGAUCUCAGAGGAUCCCAGACUAAUACAGAGAUACACUAUGCUGAUUGCUUAACCCGCAUUUUCUCAUUUAAUUGAAACAUAUACGUGGUAAGGUAUUUAUUCAUACCUGCAUGAUUUUGUAGAUAAACCUUAGAGAAAUUAAUACUUUUCAGAAGGCAAUUAAAGUAACACAGCAAGCAAUUGAUAAAACCUGGAUUCGCCAAGUUAAACUGGUCUGGUUUCAAAACCUGUAUUGUUUCCUAACAUACCACCUAAAUUCUCAAAUGGUAUUGGAAGGGGUUAAAUGAGAUUAUAAAUGUAAAAUUCUUGGUAUAGUUAAUUCUCAAAAAUAGGCCUUCAAUCUAUAGAAUCCAUUUGUAGAACUAUCUUCAGGAAGGAAAAAUACAUCACCCUCCACCCCACCCUCAAAGAAACAUGGAAAAUUUAAACUAAGACUUCAAAUCUUGAGCUCUGCACAUCUUAGAAUAUUUUGUUUCUAUGAAAAAGAAGCUUUGGAGAAUGUGUAUCAGUCUGAAACACUGUAGUGUGAGCACAGAAAUCAGCCCAUCACAUUAUGCCCCAAAUGCUGAAGUACGGCUGAAUCUGAUUGCCCUGCAUUUUUAAGUACUGCAAAAUUCUGGGACUUGGGAUCAUCUGUUACUACAGACUUGUCAUAUUCCACUGAAAUAAAACAUAUAGUCUAAUUUGCAAAGUUCUCGUGUGGAAAGAGUCCUAAAAUGUAUAUAACCUCUGUCCCAGCAAUUCCAUUAGGAAUUUAUCCAAUCCAAAAUCUAAAAUGCAGAAGAUCUACAUAUUGAAUGCUUAUGGCAGCAUUCUUUAAAAUUAUGAAAAUUGAAAGCAACCAAAAUCCUCAAAAACAGACUAAUGGCUAAGUAGUAUAACCAUACUAUGAAAUGUGGUAAUUGAAUAUUCAAAUUUGUGUUGUAUAAAAAAUUAAUAAUGGUAUAACAUUUGGCUAUAAAAUAGAAUGAAUUCAAUUGUAUUUUUUAAACCAGUACAUCUGCAUAUUUGUGAACCUAAAAGAUAAGACGGUAAAUAUUUAACUGUAUUUUUCUUUAAUUGUUGGGGCUGUGAAUUAUUUUAAUUUUCUUAAUGCUUUUUAAUCUUCUCUGAAAAUUUUAUAAUAAUCUCUAAUAAUAAUUUAUAGCAAAAAAACCCAAAAUUUUAAAGGGUAUUCUUUUUGUAUUUUUAUCAAGAAUAAAAAUAUAUAUCAAU